GCUACAUGUUGCUCUAUGCUUCCGUUGGAGCAGUCACCCACUCGUAGUCUAAUAACCACGGUGUCUGUCCCCCGAGAUUAAA